rnacentral:rRNA from 1 species
CGGCGGACGGGUGAGUAACGCGUGGGUAACCUGCCUCAUACAGGGGGAUAACAGUUGGAAACGGCUGCUAAUACCGCAUAAGCGCACAGUACCGCAUGGUACCGUGUGAAAAACUCCGGUGGUAUGAGAUGGACCCGCGUCUGAUUAGCUAGUUGGUGGGGUAACGGCCUACCAAGGCAACGAUCAGUAGCCGACCUGAGAGGGUGACCGGCCACAUUGGGACUGAGACACGGCCCAGACUCCUACGGGAGGCAGCAUG